GUGCUUGCUUCGGCAGCACAUAUACUAAAAGUGGAACGAUACAGAGAAGAUUAGCAUGGCCCCUGCACAAGGAUGAAAUGCAAAUUUGUGAAGCGUUUCAUAUUUUU
rnacentral:snRNA from 1 species